rnacentral:rRNA from 1 species
UACGAAGGGGGCUAGCGUUGCUCGGAAUUAUUGGGCGUAAAGCGCACGUAGGCGGUUUGUUAAGUCGGAUGUGAAAUCCCUCGGCUCAACUGAGGAAGUGCAUCCGAAACUGGCAAGCUUGAGUACGAAAGAGGGUCGCGGAAUUCCCGGUGUAGAGGUGAAAUUCGUAGAUAUCGGGAGGAACACCGGUGGCGAAGGCGGCGACCUGGGUCGAUACUGACGCUGAGGUGCGAAAGCGUGGGGAGCAAACAGG